UACGGAGGGGGCUAGCGUUGUUCGGAAUUACUGGGCGUAAAGCGCACGUAGGCGGCUUUGUAAGUUAGAGGUGAAAGCCCGGGGCUCAACUCCGGAAUUGCCUUUAAGACUGCAUCGCUAGAAUUGUGGAGAGGUAAGUGGAAUUCCGAGUGUAGAGGUGAAAUUCGUAGAUAUUCGGAGGAACACCAGUGGCGAAGGCGACUUGCUGGAUCUCUGCUGACGCUGAGACGCGAAAGCGUGGGGAGCAAACAGG
rnacentral:rRNA from 1 species